GUAUUGGUGGUUCAGUGGUGGAAUCCUCGCCUGCCACGCGGGCGACCCCAUUCUCGGCCAGUGUCGCCUGCCACGCGGGCGACCUCGGUUCAAUUCUCAGCCAGUGCA